rnacentral:rRNA from 1 species
AGAGUUUGAUUCUGGCUCAGAACGAACGCUGGCGGCGUGGAUAAGACAUGCAAGUCGAACGAGAGAAUUGCUAGCUUGCUAAUAAUUCUCUAGUGGCGCACGGGUGAGUAACACGUGAGUAACCUGCCCCCGAGAGCGGGAUAGCCCUGGGAAACUGGGAUUAAUACCGCAUAGUAUCGAAAGAUUAAAGCAGCAAUGCGCUUGGGGAUGGGCUCGCGGCCUAUUAGUUAGUUGGUGAGGUAACGGCUCACCAAGGCGAUGACGGGUAGCCGGUCUGAGAGGAUGUCCGGCCACACUGGAACUGAGACACGGUCCAGACACCUACGGGUGGCAGCAGUCGAGAAUCAUUCACAAUGGGGGAAACCCUGAUGGUGCGACGCCGCGUGGGGGAAUGAAGGUCUUCGGAUUGUAAACCCCUGUCAUGUGGGAGCAAAUUAAAAAGAUAGUACCACAAGAGGAAGAGACGGCUAACUCUGUGCCAGCAGCCGCGGUAAUACAGAGGUCUCAAGCGUUGUUCGGAAUCACUGGGCGUAAAGCGUGCGUAGGCUGUUUCGUAAGUCGUGUGUGAAAGGCGCGGGCUCAACCCGCGGACGGCACAUGAUACUGCGAGACUAGAGUAAUGGAGGGGGAACCGGAAUUCUCGGUGUAGCAGUGAAAUGCGUAGAUAUCGAGAGGAACACUCGUGGCGAAGGCGGGUUCCUGGACAUUAACUGACGCUGAGGCACGAAGGCCAGGGGAGCGAAAGGGAUUAGAUACCCCUGUAGUCCUGGCAGUAAACGGUGCACGCUUGGUGUGCGGGGAAUCGACCCCCUGCGUGCCGGAGCUAACGCGUUAAGCGUGCCGCCUGGGGAGUACGGUCGCAAGAUUAAAACUCAAAGAAAUUGACGGGGACCCGCACAAGCGGUGGAGUAUGUGGCUUAAUUCGAUGCAACGCGAAGAACCUUACCUGGGCUUGACA